CAGUCGCCACGGGAAUACGUAGGUGGCAAGCGUUGUCCGGAAUUAUUGGACGUAAAGCGCGUGCAGGUGGUUUAAUAAGUCUGAUGUGAAAGCCCACGGCUCAACCGUGGAGGGUCAUUGGAAACUGUUAAACUUGAGUGCAGGAGAGAAAAGUGGAAUCCCUAGUGUAGCGGUGAAAUGCGUAGAGAUUAGGAGGAACACCAGUGGCGAAGGCGGCUCUCUGGUCUGUAACUGACGCUGAGGAGCGAAAGCCAGGGGAGCGAACGGGAUUAGAUACCCCUGUAGUCCCUGUCUCUUAUAC
rnacentral:rRNA from 1 species